rnacentral:rRNA from 1 species
AAGCCGCAAGGCAUCUGUGAAGGUGCUGCAUGGUUGUCGUCAGCUCGUGCCGUGAGGUGUCGGCUUAAGUGCCAUAACGAGCGCAACCCUUGUUGUCAGUUACUAACAGGUUCCGCUGAGGACUCUGACAAGACUGCCAUCGUAAGAUGUGAGGAAGGUGGGGAUGACGUCAAAUCAGCACGGCCCUUACGUCCGGGGCUACACACGUGUUACAAUGGGGGGUACAGAGGGCCGCUACCACGCGAGUGGAUGCCAAUCCCCAAAACCUCUCUCAGUUCGGACUGGAGUCUGCAACCCGACUCCACGAAGCUGGUUUCGCUAGUAAUCGCGCAUCAGCCACGGCGCGGUGAAUACGUUCCCGGGCCUUGUACACACCGCCCGUCAAGCCAUGGGAGCCGGGGGUACCUGAAGUGCGUAACCGCGAGGAGCGCCCUAGGGUAAAACUGGUGACUGGGGCUAAGUCGUAACAAGGUAACCGU